GCAGUCUGCAACUCGACUGCACGAAGCUGGAAUCGCUAGUAAUCGCGGAUCAGCACGCCGCGGUGAAUACGUUCCCGGGCCUUGUACACACCCGCCCGUCACACCAUGAGAGUUGAGAAUACCCGAAGUCCAUGUCAAAGUGGCCGAAGGUAGGCUUGAUGAUUGGGGUGAAGUCGUAACAAGGUAAC
rnacentral:rRNA from 1 species